AUUGAACGCUGGCGGCAUGCCUUACACAUGCAAGUCGAACGGCAGCACGGGAGCAACCCUGGUGGCGAGUGGCGAACGGGUGAGUAAUACAUCGGAACGUGCCCAGUAGUGGGGGAUAGCCCGGCGAAAGCCGGAUUAAUACCGCAUACGACCUGAGGGUGAAAGCGGGGGAUCGCAAGACCUCGCGCUAUUGGAGCGGCCGAUGUCGGAUUAGCUAGUUGGUGGGGUAAAGGCUCACCAAGGCAACGAUCCGUAGCUGGUCUGAGAGGACGACCAGCCACACUGGGACUGAGACACGGCCCAGACUCCUACGGGAGGCAGCAGUGGGGAAUUUUGGACAAUGGGCGCAAGCCUGAUCCAGCCAUGCCGCGUGCGGGAAGAAGGCCUUCGGGUUGUAAACCGCUUUUGUCAGGGAAGAAACGCCCUGGGCUAAUACCCCGGGGUAAUGACGGUACCUGAAGAAUAAGCACCGGCUAACUACGUGCCAGCAGCCGCCGCAGUAA
rnacentral:rRNA from 1 species